GACGAACGCUGGCGGCGUGCUUAACACAUGCAAGUCGAACGGAAAGGCCCUGCGUUUGUGGGGUGCUCGAGUGGCGAACGGGUGAGUAACACGUGAGUAACCUGCCCUUGACUUUGGGGUAACUUCAGGAAACUGGGGCUACUACCGUAUAGGAGCUCCUGCUGCAUGGUGGGGGUUGGAAAGUUUCGGCGGUUGGGGAUGGACUCGCGGCUAAUCAGCUUGUUGGUGGGGUAGUGGCUUACCAAGGCUUUGACGGGUAGCCGGCCUGUGAGGGUGACCGGCCACAUUGGGACUGAGAUACGGCCCAGACUGCAACGGUGGGCAGCAGUGGGGAAUAUGGCACAAUGGGCGGAAGUCUGAUGCAGCAGCGCCGCGUGCGUGAUGACGGCCUUCUGGGUGUAAACCGCUUUCGCCUGUGACGAAGCGGGAGUGACGGUAAUGGGUGAAGAAGCACCGGCUAACUACGUG
rnacentral:rRNA from 1 species